CCCCGACCUCAGCGGGUCAACUAUCAUCCCGCCACCGCCACGGGUCCUGAAAGAGUGACAGAGAGGGACCAUACGUGAGAAGGUCAGUUUAGACAGAGGCUGACCAGUGUGGUGGGGGUCCCUGACGAGGCUGUCUGUUGGGGAUGCGGAGGGGAUCGCUGUCCUCUCUUCUCCGUCUCUGCUCCUCAUCCUCCGUGUCCCU